rnacentral:rRNA from 1 species
GAUGAACGCUGGCGGCGUGCCUAAUACAUGCAAGUCGAGCGAACGGACGAGAAGCUUGCUUUUCUGAUGUUAGCGGCGGACGGGUGAGUAACACGUGGAUAACCUACCUAUAAUACUGGGAUAACUUCGGGAAACCGGAGCUAAUACCGGAUAAUAUUUUGAACCGCAUGGUUCAAAAGUGAAAGACGGUCUUGCUGUCACUUAUAGAUGGAUCCGCGCUGCAUUAGCUAGUUGGUAAGGUAACGGCUUACCAAGGCAACGAUGCGUAGCCGACCUGAGAGGGUGAUCGGCCACACUGGAACUGAGACACGGUCCAGACUCCUACGGGAGGCAGCAGUAGGGAAUCUUCCGCAAUGGGCGAAAGCCUGACGGAGCAACGCCGCGUGAGUGAUGAAGGUCUUCGGAUCGUAAAACUCUGUUAUUAGGGAAGAACAUAUGUGUAAGUAACUGUGGACAUCUUGACGGUACCUAAUCAGAAAGCCACGGCUAACUACGUG